rfam:Danio rerio chromosome 4, GRCz11 reference primary assembly.
GUAGUCGUGGCCGAGUGGUUAAGGCGAUGGACUUGAAAUCCAUUGGGGUCUCCCCGCGCAGGUUUGAAUCCUGCCGACUACG